rnacentral:lncRNA from 1 species
GGGGACAUUUCAAUUUGAGAUGAUCAGCAUAUUUACGUGCUCAGAAAAAUCAUAAAUUAAGAAUUGAGAGCAUAGGACUUUUCAUCCAUGUUGAUAGAGAAAGCUUGAAGGAAUUGCAAUGGAUGGAGAGAUGGUGAACGAUAAUCCUGAGGAUCCAAUCCAAAGAGAAAUAGACCAAUUAGAUGAAUCAAACAAGAAAACGGAGCAAAAUAUUCGAAAGCUGGAAGCAAGAGCAGCCCAAAAUGUCAACCUAUAUUUCAUAUUCCAAGCAGUGAUUCUUGCAUCAAUCACCUCUGCCUCAUCUCUCAGGUGUCAUCACUGGUGGCUUCCAUUGACCCUCUCACUUCUUGUUGCCGUCCAAAACUUGUUCACCUUUGUCAGCGCCAUGUACAAAAUUGUCAAGUCAAAAGAAGAGCUCGAUCAGGACACCUUGGACCUUGCUUUCAUCAAGUUGUACCGGAUCGAAAGGGCUCAACUCAAUCAGGUAUUGCCUGGAACUCCGUUCGAUCAACUGCAGGGUGGUUCUCAAGUCGCUAAACAAGGAAUAAUCAAAGUUUUAGGCCAAAGCCGGGCUUGUUUAGCCGGUGCAAACGCCGUUUGCUUGUUUAUUCUUCCGUUGCUCUGUUUGUUGGCUUCAGUGUCGCUAUAAUGUAUGGCUGCUACAGCCUUCUUUGCCGUUCCAAUGGGGAAAAGUGUGUGAAAGUCUGCUAAUUCAACACCUCUUUUUUCUCAGCAAGGUAAAUGGUGACCACAAGUUAAAAUUACCUUGUUGGUUGAGGCCUAAAGACUGAUUGUCAACCUCUAUAGUAGCCAUUUUCAAAAAAAAAAUAAAUAUAAGAUGAGAGUGUAUGACCUUUGCUUCUCCUCUUGCAAUGGAAUAUUUGACUUUACUUUGUUAUAGUACUAUGAAAAAAUUGUACACGUUAAGGGUUUAUAAAAAAAAAGCCCAAAAUUCAAUCACUUAUGCAAAUCUUUUCAUUUGUCAAACAAUUAGUUAAUGAUUGAUUACAGUCGCGAG